CCAGGUCACGCGAUUCGUAUAUUAGUCUAUUCAUUUUUCCACUCCUUGAAAGCAACGGAUACUUUCACAAGAACAGAAACAAGAAAAAAAGGAUACAUACCAUGAGUGGUCUCUUUGCUCAAAUCCAUCAGUCUUGACACCAUGCUUUCUCGAGGAAAGGACUCCAUUUCCAUAAUCUCUACCAGUAACAGAUUCACUCUCAGAGUCCCACAUGAUGUCGAAACAAGAAAAUCCAAGAAAGCCUGAGCAGGGUUUUUCUCAGGACAAGAGCCCUUCUAAAACAGAGUUGAAGCAGAGAAAACAAGCAACAAAAGCAGACAAAACAACAAGUAAAACAACACAGAGGGUUGAUGAGAAAGAAAAGGAGAACCCCACAUGGGGGUGCUUGGAAUUAUCUCUCAACUGUCGGCUUCUUGAGGAUUUUCAAGAGCCUCUUUUACAUUACAGUCUGUGAAGUAAUGGGCAUGGAAUUUCGUACUGGUUUUGGAUCAUUUUGAGCUAGCUUGCAUAAUUCUUAAGACAUUUCUCUGUCUUCAUAGCUCUGCGCACAAGACACUGAAACAUCCAGUUUCCAAUCUUUCGUAUCAUGCUUUUUU